rfam:Schistosoma rodhaini strain Burundi genome assembly, scaffold: SROB_scaffold0014331
GUACUGCUGAGGAGUCCCGCGAUAGAACAAAACGGCCGUCCAGUAC